GACGAACGCUGGCGGCGUGCCUAAUACAUGCAAGUCGAGCGAUGAAGACUGGUUCUUGCCCCGAUUUGAAGAGCAGCGAACGGGGGAGUAACGCGUGGGGAAUCUGCCUUUGAGCGGGGGACAACAUUUGGAAACGAGUGCUAAUACCGCAUAACAACUUUAAACAUAAGUUUUAAGUUUGAAAGAUGCAAUUGCAUCACUCAAAGGUGGUCCCGCGUUGUAUUAGCUAGUUGGUGGGGUAAAGGCUCACCAAGGCGAUGAUACAUAGCCGACCUGCGAGGGAGAGCGGCCAGACUGAGAGUGAGACACGGCCCAAACGCAUUCGGGAGGGAGCAGGAGGGAAGCUUUGGCGAUGGAUGAAAGGCUGACCGAGGAAGGCCGCGUGAGUGAAGAAGGGUGUCGGAUCGGAAAACUCCGUUGGUAGAGAAGAACGUUGGUGAGGGUGGAAAGCGCAGCAAGUGACGGUAACUACUCAGAAAGCGACGGCUAACUACGUG
rnacentral:rRNA from 1 species